rnacentral:tRNA from 1 species
GGGCCCGUAGCCUAGCCUGGAUAGGGCGCCGGCCUCCUAAGCCGGAGGCCCGGGGUUCGAAUCCCCGCGGGCCCG